rnacentral:rRNA from 1 species
CGCUUUGUCUUUAACUGAUCUGACGAGCUUGCUCUGAUGUGAUUUUAUCUGACAAAGAGUGGCGAACGGGUGAGUAACACGUGGGUAACCUACCUCUUAGCAGGGGAUAACAUUUGGAAACAAGUGCUAAUACCGUAUAAUACCAACAACCGCAUGGUUGUUGGUUGAAAGGUGGUUCUGCUAUCACUAAGAGAUGGACCCGCGGUGCAUUAGCUAGUUGGUAAGGUAACGGCUUACCAAGGCAAUGAUGCAUAGCCGAGUUGAGAGACUGAUCGGCCACAAUGGGACUGAGACACGGCCCAUACUCCUACGGGAGGCAGCAGUAGGGAAUCUUCCACAAUGGGCGCAAGCCUGAUGGAGCAACGCCGCGUGUGUGAUGAAGGGUUUCGGCUCGUAAAACACUGUUAUAAGAGAAGAACGGCACUGAGAGUAACUGUUCAGUGUGUGACGGUAUCUUACCAGAAAGGAACGGCUAAAUACGUGCCAGCAGCCGCGGUAAUACGUAUGUUCCAAGCGUUAUCCGGAUUUAUUGGGCGUAAAGCGAGCGCAGACGGUUAUUUAAGUCUGAAGUGAAAGCCCUCAGCUCAACUGAGGAAUGGCUUUGGAAACUGGAUGACUUGAGUGCAGUAGAGGAAAGUGGAACUCCAUGUGUAGCGGUGAAAUGCGUAGAUAUAUGGAAGAACACCAGUGGCGAAGGCGGCUUUCUGGACUGUAACUGACGUUGAGGCUCGAAAGUGUGGGUAGCAAACAGGAUUAGAUACCCUGGUAGUCCACACCGUAAACGAUGAGUGCUAGAUGUUCGAGGGUUUCCGCCCUUGAGUGUCGCAGCUAACGCAUUAAGCACUCCGCCUGGGGAGUACGACCGCAAGGUUGAAACUCAAAGGAAUUGACGGGGACCCGCACAGCGGUGGAGCAUGUGGUUUAAUUCGAAGCAACGCGAAGAACCUUACCAGGUCUUGACAUCCCUUGCUAAUCCUAGAAAUAGGACGUUCCCUUCGGGGACAAGGUGACAGGUGGUGCAUGGUUGUCGUCAGCUCGUGUCGUGAGAUGUUGGGUUAAGUCCCGCAACGAGCGCAACCCUUAUUAUUAGUUGCCAGCAUUUAGUUGGGCACUCUAGUGAGACUGCCGGUGACAAACCGGAGGAAGGUGGGGAUGACGUCAAAUCAUCAUGCCCCUUAUGACCUGGGCUACACACGUGCUACAAUGGCAUAUACAACGAGUCGCCAACCCGCGAGGGUGCGCUAAUCUCUUA